GACGAACGCUGGCGGCGUGCUUAACACAUGCAAGUCGAGCGGUAAGGCCCUUUCGGGGGUACACGAGCGGCGAACGGGUGAGUAACACGUGGGUGACCUGCCCUCAGCUCUGGGAUAAGCCUGGGAAACCGGGUCUAAUACUGGAUAUGACUCCAUGACGCAUGUUGUGGGGUGGAAAGCCUUGUGCGGCUGAGGAUGGGCCCGCGGCCUAUCAGCUUGUUGGUGGGGUGAUGGCCUACCAAGGCGACGACGGGUAGCCGGCCUGAGAGGGCGACCGGCCACACUGGGACUGAGACACGGCCCAGACUCCUACGGGAGGCAGCAGUGGGGAAUCUUGCGCAAUGGGCCGAAAGCCUGACGCAGCGACGCCGCGUGAGGGAUGACGG
rnacentral:rRNA from 1 species